AUGACUUUGUAUCACUGUGGAACACGUUCGGUGGAGGAACCAGACUGGAUGUUGGAAUUCAGUGAGUCAAAGUCAGAGAGCCGUGUCUCUCUACAGCGAGAGGUUUUUGUACGGCGGCUCAAUGACUUUGUAUCACUGUGGUGGACUUUUGGUGGAGGAACCAGACUGGAUGUUGGAAGUGAUGUCCCUCCCACCCUGACGGUGCUGCCCCCCUCCACAGAAGAGCUGCAGCAGGGGAAGGCCACGCUCAUGUGCCUGGCCAACAAGGGCUUCCCCUCAGACUGGAGUCUGGCCUGGAAGGUGGACGGCAGCAGCAGCAGCAGCAGCAGCAGCUGGGAGGAGAGCAGGAGCCCCGGGGUGCUGGAGAAGGACGCCCACUACAGCUGGAGCAGCACCCUGAGGCUCUCUGCAGACCAGUGGAGGAAGGUGGUCUCUGUGACCUGUGAGGCCACCCAGGGCUCCCAGACUCCGCUCUCAGAGACACUGAGGAGAGACCAGUGUUCCCAGUCCUGAGCUGACUCACUGGGACUCUGCUUUCUCUCUCACACUGCUCUCAGUCUGCUCUCUGGCUCUCAGGACAUGUUUCAACAUCAACCUGUUUCUGCUCGUGUCCAUGGUUUCAACAUUUAAAAACAAUAAAGAUGAAUGUGUGUAUUAUAAAA